rnacentral:misc_RNA from 1 species
AAGUCGUAACAAGGUUUCCGUAGGUGAACCUGCGGAAGGAUCAUUAACACGUAUCCAAACGUUAAAACCCCCCCCGUGAACCUUCAUCCUGCUCUUGUAACCCGCGUAGUUCGCAAUCUCUGAUAAAUCAUAGCCCGGAAAGUUGUAGUGAUUCAGAGACCUCUGGCUACGUGCGAACAUUGGAACAGUUACAAUCGAGCGGUAGUUCUAUAGGCAAUGUUUCCCCAAGCGGUCUACGGGAAUCGUAGAAGCGUAUCCUUGCACAAUCAAUGACACCGUACACUCGGGCAGGAGCUUUGCCAAAGGGUCCCCAUGCCCCCUAAUAACCCCACAGUUUAAUGUGAAGCUCAAUGUAAUAACCGAACAAACUGUUAACAAUGGAUAUCUUGGUUCUC